rnacentral:rRNA from 1 species
CCUACGGGAGGCAGCAGUGAGGAAUAUUGGACAACGGAGGAAACUCUGAUCCAGCCAUGCCGCGUGCAGGAAGACUGCCCUAUGGGUUGUAAACUGCUUUUAUACAGGAAGAAACCGCUCUACGUGUAGAGCUCUGACGGUACUGUAAGAAUAAGGAUCGGCUAACUCCGUGCCAGCAGCCGCGGUAAUACGGAGGAUCCAAGCGUUAUCCGGAAUCAUUGGGUUUAAAGGGUCCGUAGGUGGAUAAUUAAGUCAGAGGUGAAAUCUUGCAGCUCAACUGUAAAAUUGCCUUUGAUACUGGUUAUCUUGAGUUAUUAUGAAGUAGUUAGAAUAUGUAGUGUAGCGGUGAAAUGCAUAGAUAUUACAUAGAAUACCAAUUGCGAAGGCAGAUUACUAAUAAUAUACUGACACUGAUGGACGAAAGCGUGGGUAGCGAACAGGAUUAGAUACCCUGGUAGUCCACGCCGUAAACGAUGGUUACUAGCUGUGUGGAUUUCGAUCUGCGUGGCUAAGCGAAAGUGAUAAGUAACCCACCUGGGGAGUACGUUCGCAAGAAUGAAACUCAAAGGAAUUGACGG